AACGUAGGUUCCGAGCGUUAUCCGGAUUUACUGGGCGUAAAGCGCGUUCAGGCGGUUUGGCAAGUCGGGCAUGAAAUCUCUCGGCUCAACCGGGAGAGGUUGUCCGAUACUUCCAGACUUGAGGGCAGUAGAGGGUGGUGGAAUUCCGGGUGUAGUGGUGAAAUGCGUAGAUAUCCGGAGGAACACCAGUGGCGAAAGCGGCCACCUGGACUGCACCUGACGCUGACACGCGAAAGCUAGAGGAGCGAACGGG
rnacentral:rRNA from 1 species